AACGAACGCUGGCGGCAUGCCUAACACAUGCAAGUCGAACGAUUGCCUUCGGUUGAUAGUGGCGCACGGGUGCGUAACGCGAGGGAAUCUGCCCUUCGGUUCGGACUAACCGCUGGCAACGGCUUCUCAUACCGGAUGAUAUCGCGAGAUCGGAGAUUUAUCGCCUGGGGCUGUGGCGGGGUUGGAUUGGUUUUGUGGCGGGGUAAGGGCCUACCACGCCGUCGCUCCAUAGCUGGUCGGGGAGGAUGAUCAGCCACGCUGGGACUGAGACACAGCACAGACUACUACGGGAGGCAGCAGGGGGGAAUAUUGGACAAUGGGCGCAAGCGGGAUCGAGCAAUGCCGGGUGAGAGAUGAAGGCGCUAGGGAUGUAAAGCUCUUUUGCCCGGGAAGAUAAUGACGGUACCGGGAGAAGAAGCCCCGGCUAACUACGUG
rnacentral:rRNA from 1 species